GAAAUGGCUCAGUCAGUAGAGCAUGAGACUCUUAAUCUCAGUAUUGUAGGUUUGAGCCCCAUGUUGGGCA
rnacentral:tRNA from 1 species